UACGGAGGGUGCAAGCGUUGUUCGGAAUCACUGGGCGUAAAGGGCGCGUAGGCGGCUUGGUAAGUCAGAUGUGAAAGCCCACGGCUUAACUGUGGAAGUGCAUUUGAAACUGUCAGGCUUGAGUACCAGAGGGGAAAGUGGAAUUCCCGGUGUAGAGGUGAAAUUCGUAGAUAUCGGGAGGAAUACCGGUGGCGAAGGCGACUUUCUGGCUGGAUACUGACGCUGAGGCGCGAAAGCGUGGGGAGCAAACAGG
rnacentral:rRNA from 1 species